ACGGGAGGCAGCAGUGGGGAAUAUUGCACAAUGGGGGAAACCCUGAUGCAGCGACGCCGCGUGAGUGAUGAAGUAUUUCGGUAUGUAAAGCUCUAUCAGCAGGGAAGAAAAUGACGGUACCUGACUAAGAAGCACCGGCUAAAUACGUGCCAGCAGCCGCGGUAAUACGUAUGGUGCAAGCGUUAUCCGGAUUUACUGGGUGUAAAGGGAGCGUAGGCGGCAUGGCAAGUCAGAUGUGAAAGCCCGGGGCUCAACCCCGGAACUGCAUUUGAAACUGUCAGGCUAGAGUGCCGGAGAGGUAAGCGGAAUUCCUAGUGUAGCGGUGAAAUGCGUAGAUAUUAGGAGGAACACCAGUGGCGAAGGCGGCUUACUGGACGGUAACUGACGCUGAGGCUCGAAAGCGUGGGGAGCAAACAGGAUUAGAUACCCUGGUA
rnacentral:rRNA from 1 species